UUUCAAUGUUCUCAAAAAAGAUUCAGAAGAUGCUGCCGUGGGCAGUUUUUACUUGAUGAACAGCUUCUCCAUGUUCUUUUCGGUAGCCGAAUUUAAUUUUAGUAUCAUCACUGUCUGCAUAAGGAUCUGCCUGUGUACAGUGUACCGGCACUGACACGGCUGGACCUUUAUUUAGCUGAUUUCUGUUUGGACAGAAGAGCUUUCGUGCGGUUGGCGAACUAUCAUCAGUCUGUGGACAUUUGGGCUUAUUAUGUUUAAAUUCUACAAAUAUAUGCACAAGUAAUCAGGCCAUAAUUUUUAACUAUAGCUCAUGUACUGUACUGUCCGAUUGGAUGGCGAACUUGUGCCUUUCCCCCACAUGUUCUUGAAUACUCACUUCCACGGGUCUACCUAAUUUUCUAGCAUCGUGUAUCUGUACAUGCACCCGGAUGACCUGCUAGUCGCUGGGGAUGGCAUUAUUAUCGUUUGUGCCUGAUUAAAUGUGGUUAAGAAUUCCACAAGAGCAGCAUAUAAAAUUCGUGCAGAAAAAGGUGAGGAACGCAAUGGAAACAGCCAGGUAACCUUUUAUAUCCCCAUUACAAACAGAUGCUACAAGCGCACUGCAAAAUAGGUAAGACCAAGAUGUGCGUUAAUAAUUCAAUAGUUAAUCCCAGGAAAGAUGUCUAAGGAAAUGAAGUCGGCAAUGUUGGACUGGGAAUUCAACCAAGCAACUGGAAUGAAACAGGACACACAAUAUACAACCCGUAUACAUCGAAUUACGCAACCGCAUGAACGUGGACGACACCCACAACCAGUAUUAAAUAUCAAUAUCAACAGAGCACAAUGUAUGUAGCUGUUUGGUUUUGCUGAUUUCUUCGUGCAAGUAGAGUGGCUCAUAAUAUUUUACCUAUCUGGCGAAUUAAUAUUUGCUGCUCUUUUGUACUACGGGCCAUGCAUUACCAUCAACGGGACAUCUUAAUGUCUUGAAGAUCUUGAUCAGCUGCAAAUAUGAGCGAGUACAAGUGUGCACUUGAUUGUUAAUUUGCUUAGCAUGCAGAUCCAGAACCAGUCACUUUCAAGUAUUGUAGUUUAAACCCAAUAUACUCGUACGUGGAAAGUUCA